AUUGAACGCUGGCGGCAGGCCUAACACAUGCAAGUCGAGCGGAUGAAGGGAGCUUGCUCCUGGAUUCAGCGGCGGACGGGUGAGUAAUGCCUAGGAAUCUGCCUGGUAGUGGGGGAUAACGUCCGGAAACGGGCGCUAAUACCGCAUACGACCUGAGGGAGAAAGUGGGGGAUCUUCGGACCUCACGCUAUCAGAUGAGCCUAGGUCGGAUUAGCUAGUUGGUGGGGUAAAGGCCUACCAAGGCGACGUUCCGUAACUGGUCUGAGGGGAUGAUCAGUCACACUGAACCUGAGCCCCGGCCCAGCCUCUUAGGGAGGGCAGCGGUGGGGAUUUUUGGACACGGGGCGAAAGCCUGCUCCAGCCAUGCCGGGUGUGUGAAGAAGGUCUGCGGUUUGUAAAGCACUUUAUGUGGGGAGAACGGGCAGUAAGUUAGUACCUUGCUGUUUGACCGUUACCAACAGAAUAGGCACCGCCUACCUCCUU
rnacentral:rRNA from 1 species